rnacentral:misc_RNA from 1 species
UCGUACUCAGAUAAACCCUGGAGAUCAGACGUUACGAAGGCUUCAAUUCCUUUCCUCCCGAGCUUAACCCUCGAUGCAAAGAAGGGAAGCUCAGUUAGAUCAGACUGCACAAAAGUGCACUCAUAUACAUCAGUAUCUCCAUCCAAAGCACGAAGAGAUGAUUCCACAAAUCUUGCUGCAGCAUAUGCCAUUGAAAGGGUAGCAGAUCCUGCCCCUGCCUUCG